GACGAACCGAGCGAACGUUGUUCGGAAUCACUGGGCUUAAAGGGCGCGUAGGCGGGUGCUCAAGUCCGUGGUGAAUCCUCCGGCUCAACCGGAGAACUGCCUCGGAUACUGGGCGUCUCGAGUGUGGUAGGGGUAUGCGGAACUAUCGGUGGAGCGGUGAAAUGCGUUGAUAUCGAUAGGAACUCCGGUGGCGAAGGCGGCAUACUGGACCACCACUGACGCUGAUGCGCGAAAGCCAGGGGAGCAAACGGG
rnacentral:rRNA from 1 species